ACUGCCAAGGAGGGCAGUGGUUUUAUACAGGAGCGAGAUUUGUGUUAUGCACAAAUCUCGUCGUUAAGCAGUUGUACACGGAUGUACAACUGCUUAACAGUC
rfam:Treponema sp. OMZ 838, complete genome.